UUGUUGGAGUCCUACCAUCAUC
rnacentral:siRNA from 1 species